UGUUUGAUGUUCUAACGUGGACCCGUGAUCCGGGUUGCGGACAGUGUCUGGUGGGUAGUUUGACUGGGGCGGUCUCCUCCUAAAGAGUAACGGAGGAGCACGAAGGUUGGCUAAUCCUGGUCGGACAUCAGGAGGUUAGUGCAAUGGCAUAAGCCAGCUUGACUGCGAGCGUGACGGCGCGAGCAGGUGCGAAAGCAGGUCAUAGUGAUCCGGUGGUUCUGAAUGGAAGGGCCAUCGCUCAACGGAUAAAAGGUACUCCGGGGAUAACAGGCUGAUACCGCCCAAGAGUUCAUAUCGACGGCGGUGUUUGGCACCUCGAUGUCGGCUCAUCACAUCCUGGGGCUGAAGUAGGUCCCAAGGGUAUGGCUGUUCGCCAUUUAAAGUGGUACGCGAGCUGGGUUUAGAACGUCGUGAGACAGUUCGGUCCCUAUCUGCCGUGGGCGCUGGAGAACUGAGGGGGGCUGCUCCUAGUACGAGAGGACCGGAGUGGACGCAUCACUGGUGUUCGGGUUGUCAUGCCAAUGGCACUGCCCGGUAGCUAAAUGCGGAAGAGAUAAGUGCUGAAAGCAUCUAAGCACGAAACUUGCCCCGAGAUGAGUUCUCCCUGAGACUUUAGGUCUCCUGAAGGAACGUUGAAGACGACGACGUUGAUAGGCCGG
rnacentral:rRNA from 1 species